UUUUGUGUGCCGCAGCUGCGUCGACGAGAGCGAGCUACUCACCGACCAAGAAGAAAGUAGCAGUAGUAGAAGAAUCCAAAGCCAAUUCCACUCUCUCUGCAAGGUGCAAGGGGAAGCAAGCAAGCAAGCAGGGUUGAAGAGCUCGGGUUGCUAGAUACCGCGAUGGCUAUGGCGAUGGCACUCUCGUGCUGCGCUUUGUCCCCUGUGGUGAUGGUGGCGUCGUCGCAUCGCCUCAGCUUCUCGCUGUCUCUCUCUCGCUUCAAACCUUCUUCUUCUGUGUCCCCUUCUCGCCAUGCUCACCGUUCCUUCACGGGGAUUCGUGCCUCCAAUUCUUCAUCCUCCUCUCCUCCUUCCUCCCCGGAGGUUUACCGCGGCGUUUAUGGGCCCUGGUCUGUGGAUUCUGCCGACGUUCGCGAGGUGGUGCUGUACAGAGCAGGCUUAGUGACAGCGGCCACAACAUUCGUAGCAGCUGCGUCUACUGCACUACUUCCCGACGACAACGCUGUGAAAAGUUUGAUACAAAGCUUGUACGAUCCAUUGUUCGUAAUUGGGGCGGGGGGGCUUGGUGCGUCGCUCUUCCUGAUUCAUAUCUAUGUUACCCCUAUCAAGCGAACACUUCAAGCGUUAUGGGCAGUUGGAGUGUUGGGCUCUCUGGGUAUUGCAGUCAACUUUGCUGCACCUGUGAAUCAAGGAUUAGUGGAAUUUGUGCUGAAUAAUCCUCCAGCGAUAUGGGCUGUUGGGCCACUCUUUGCAUCCUUGACUGGACUUGUUUUUAAGGAAGGGCUUUGUUAUGGCAAGUUAGAGGCGGCUGCUCUGUUCUUUGUCAUCCCUUCGGUGCUGCUCGGUCGCCUUUCAGGAUUGAUGGAUGACGAGGUACAGCUGGGUCUUCUAGCGGCAUGGAUGGCUCUCUUCGCAGUCUUCGCAUCUCGCAAGUUCACUCAACCCAUCAAGGACGACAUUGGAGACAAGUCUGUUUUCAUGUUCAAUGCAUUGCCAGAGGAUGCAAAGCAAGCUUUGCUGCAGCAGUUACAAGAACAGCAGGCUCCACAACAAGAGGGAAGAGUUGACUAAGGGUCUAUGGCCAUUCAGGUGCUUUUGUUUUGAGUGUUAAGACUCGAGAGCAACGUUUGUUGGGAGAACACUCUAGCAAUUGGAGACGACGUUAGCAAUGGUUUGGGUUGAAUGAAGGUCGCUAGGUGAUGAGUAGGGGCAGCUCAACUUCAAAAUGAAGUGAAAGAAUAGAUGUUCAUGUAAGCUGUAGCAAAAUGUAAAUUAAUGACUUUGUGCAGGUUCAUUAGUGGUGAAAUGUUUGAAUUCAACAAUAUUAACCGAUGUGGCUAAUACUGGCGUAAGUGUUGCUGCAGCCUUAGUAUUGAACAAAUCCCAAAAACACAAGUAUAAUUGUGAUAACAUGUGAUAUUCAAAGUCGAAAAUGAUAAUGUAGAAGUAUUGUUUUUGGUUCUUGAUGUCAA